UGCUGUUGUGUAUGACAUCCGACACAAUGAUCCUGUGCUUCACAUGGUGGAGAAUCCUCGUCCCGUUGCUGUGGUUCUUGAAUUCUUGAGCCAACGGGGCGUCCGGCCUCCUCCCUCUCGUGAGCUUGUGGAGCGUGUUGGCGAGGUUGAACCGCGAUGACCUGCCCUGGCUCUGGCUCUGCUCCCUCUGUAUGAAGAACUCGAGGCUAGGCUCCUCCCACGAGCUGCUGCUGUGCCUCGAGCUCUUGAUGUCCCCUGCGUCGAGCUUGUGCCUGCAGAGGGGGCAGCUGGAGUGAUUCUCCAGCCACGUGUCGAUGCAGCUGAUGUGGAAGGCGUGCCGGCAUUUGGGGAGGAGGCGGAGGAGCUCCGUGUCCUCGAAUCUUGAGAGGCACACGGCGCACUCCAGGCCUUCCUUUGAGCCUCGGAGUGAGGAGAAUCUGAAGAAUGGGAGUGACUCUAUGAUGGUCUUGUCCACGCCCGAGAACCGGGCUCUCGUUCCAACGGAACCGUUAGGGUUCUGGAGGAGAUCCGAGGGCCCGGAUCCGGUCCCGUGGCAGAACUUGGCGUAGGCGAGGAUGAGGAAAGUGAGGCUGAACAUGAUGGAUAGGACUACUAGCACCACCGCCAUGCUCGGUUUAAGUGGAUUUACGUCGUGCUCGUUGCUCGUGUUUCGAGCUUCUGCAGAUGACAGCAAGCACAGAAGAGCAAUCAGCUGUCUCAGAUGAUCCAUUUUAGAUGGAUCUUUAUCCAUACUUUGCUUCACUAUUUGUAUUGUUUCUUGAUCAUGAGAUGAAGAGAUUUAUGUUCGAGUCAAAUUUAGUUAUGGAUGAUGAUGCUUUGGAUUACUCUUUGGAUCUUUCUGUCCAAUGCAAAAUCCGCGCUUCGGAAUAAAAGUUUCAAAGAUUAAAAAAUAAUCAUUUUUUAAUUUAUACUAUUAUUUAUUAUUUUAUUUAUUUUUGGAUUGUCUAAACCUAUUGUUUUUAUGCAUAAGUUUUUAAACAAAAAUGCAUGGCAUUACAUUUUUUUGUAGGAAAAUGAGAGAUUUUAUUAAUCACACGAACAUGGAGCAUGGAGAUGAACCUCCACAAACACGAGUUCAUUAACAUGAAGUGUAGCAACACCUCAGCUUUAGUGAAGCAAUGAGCUAUCGCGUCUUGAUUUCUCUGAUAAACUUUUUUGAAAGAUAAAACAUGAUAUCUACUUAUCUUUUCACCAACAAACGAAAAUAAAAUGAAAAAAUAGUAUGAUAUUCAAAUUAGAGAUAAAUGAGAGCGAAAAAAAAAUUUAAUUUUUAAACGAUCAUAAAUUAUUAAUUUCAAAAUUAUUUAUUACUCCGAAUUAAAGAUUAUAGUUUUUAAUUUAACAUUGGAAUUGAAUAUUUUUUACAUAUUACGAGUGAAGUGCUAGAAAAUGAAUUGAUCCCCAAUGAAUCAUCCCCUAAUGCUUAUGCUAAACCUUCUAUUUAUAGAUGACUAAUUGGGCCCAAUCCUAAAGCUCACGAAACAUAGAAAUGGAACCCAACUCGGUGGUAAAGUUAGCUCUGGCAAUGUUGUCACUGGCAGAGCUGGUAGCUCUGCUCUGGCAGCGAGGUUCCUCUGACUCUGGCAGGGCUGGUAGCUCUGCCUGGCAGUGCGGUUCCUCUGCUCUGCUCUGCUCCUAUGCUAUGCUCCUCUCCUCUGUUCCUCUGCUCCUNCCAGCCCAUAUACAACAUGCAUGUACAAAAUCCAACCCAUAUUACUUAGUAGUAGUAUAUUACAUUUUACUUUCGCAUUAAUACAACAAAUUAAUAAGAGUACAUAAUUAAAUUAUCAUUAAUCAUUAAUAAGAGUACGGAUGAAGUGAGCAUAUGACCUGCGCGGCAUCUCUGGAAUAACACAAGAAAAAGCUCAUUGGGAAUAGCUUGAGCAUCAAUAAAAUGGUAAUAGAACAAUAUAAUCAUAGAACUUUGAAAUAGCUUACUUGAAUCUCAUUGGGAAAAUCGACGUUUGAUUUUCAACAACUCUGCAUGUGCUUGUUUCAUGUUGAUUCUAUCCCCAGGAGAGUCCGCAGAGCAUUUAAGAGCCAAUUCAAGUAUGGAUGAUACACACUGCAUAUUCUUGUCAAUCAUUCUCUCCAAAUUCAUGACUAAGUGGCAUCUAUCACUUCAUCUGGGAUCUCCGAAAGUGAGAGUUCUACCCAUCUCUUUAAGCUCAUAUCUCCGCAAAACAUAUCAUCACUAGGCCUUUUUCUCGUAAAAGUUUCAAUCAACAUCACCCCGUAGCUAUACACAUCACACCUUGUUGAAACUAGACCUUCCAAGCCAUACUCUGGAACAAAAAAAAACAUGAUGUAUGCAGUAAGGAAGACAUAAUUAAUUGAUAGAAAGUGAAGUGCAAUUAAUAUAUUUAGAGAAACUUCACCUGGAGCGAUGUAACCCAAUGUUGCUAGCGUGUUUGUUAACGCAAAGCUAUCUCCAUCGCAUAACAACUUUGCUAUCCCAAAGUCGCUUACAUGGGCAACCAUGUCUUCAUCUAACAGCACAUUACUAGGCUUCAAGUCGCUGUGGACAAUGGGCAUUGAAUAACCGUGAUGAAGAUACUCCAAAGCAGAUGCAACAUCAAUCAUUAUAUUCAAUCUUUCCAUCAUAUUCAAGCAAUAGUUGUGGGAAUAUAACCAUUUUUCAAGGUUUCCCUUUGGCAUAUAUUCAAGUACUAAUGCCUUGAACUCUUCAUUGGAGCAACUGCUUAUGACGCUUGUCAGAUUCCUGUGUCGAAUGCUACGUAGUAUCUCACAUUCGACAUCGAAUAUUCUUGAAAUACCUUCUAACUGCAUAUUAAACACCUUGACAGCGAUAUCCUUCCCAUUGUUAAGAAUUCCUUUAUAAACAGAGCAAGAACUCCCAGUGCCAAGUAAAUUGCUUUCAUCGAAUCUUUCCGUUGCUUGCAGCAGUUCAUAAUAAGAGAUUCUUUCCGGCACAAUGAAUAUUAACUCAUCAACUUCUCUGCUAGUCGUCUUAUCUUUCCUUUUGUUUUUGACAAUUAUAAAGGCCAAAGAAACAACUGAGAUGAAAGCCACAACCCCGAAAACAAUAAAUGAAGCUCGUUCCACCUUCUUUCUCUUUGAUCUGUGAUUAGAAGUUGAAGAGCAAAUUUGGACAUGGAACUUGGGGAUUCCACACAAUGCCUCAUUACCCUUAAAAGAAUCCAUAGUGAAGUCUCUAAAAGAACCUCCAUUAGGAAUUUCUCCACUCAAAUUAUUGAAAGAGACAUUAAAGUAGUCGAGGUGUUGUAGUGCUUCUAAAGACUUUGGAAUUGAACCAGAGAGGUUGUUGUACGACAAGUCGAGAUUUGCCAAACUGGUCAUUUUUCCCAUAGACACAGGAAUAGAACCUUCUAGUCUAUUAUUUGCCAAAGACAAAUUAAUCAAAUUCUGCAACAUCACAAUAGUGUUAGGAAUAGACCCUGACAACUGAUUCAUUGCUACAUUUAUAUAGAUCGCUGCUCCUAAGUUACUUAUCUCUUGAUGUAAGAACCCCUUCAAUGAAUUCGAGGACAAGUCUAGAGAGUUCAAAUCUUUUAGGCCCCAUAAGCUUGAAGGUAUGCUAGAAUUCAAAAUGUUGGAGUCUAGACCAAGAUUUCUUAAAGAAGAGACAUUUCCCAGACAUUUAGGAAUUGAGCCUGAAAAUUGAUUCUUGCUCAUAACUAAAGUAUUGAGGUUGAAUAGAUCACAUAUAGCAUGUGGUAUUGAGCCUCCCAACAUGUUAUCAAACAGAUAUAAUCCUUGAAGUUCAUGCAAAUGGCUUAUAGUUAGUGGAAUAUUACCAGAUAACUCAUUUGCUCCCAAAACCAAUAUCAUCAAACUGCUUAAAUUGCCUAUUUCAGCAGGAAUGCGGCCACUGAAUUUGCAGUUGUCGACACCGAAUCUUCGAAGUGAGGAAGAUAAGUUCCCGACUGAAGCUGGAAUGAUACCGUAUAGAGGAUUACUUGAAAAUGUCAAAUCAGUUAGAGACCUGCAAUUUGUCAAUGAAGUAAUAAAGGAAGAAGAUGGUGACUGGGUAAGAUUGUUGCUGAACAGAGAAAGACGUUGGAGAAGUCUUAGGUUUCCGAGAUUAGUAGGUACAUAACCACUGAAUCUGUUCUCAUUAAGUGUGAGAAUUAUGAGUUGAGAACAAUUAGAGAUGGAGUUGGGUAUUGCUCCAGUGAUAGAAUUACUGCCAAGAUAAAGUUGUUCAAGAAAGGGAAAGGCAUGGCAUAAAUGGGUUGGAAGAACCCCUGACAGAGCAUUGAGGGUAAGUGAAAAAAUCCGAAGAGUUGAAAUGUUAAAGAGCUCAUGUGGAAUCGAACCACUCAAGCUGUUGAAUGAUAAUCCUAAUGUCUCCAAAUGGUAAAGUUGGCCAAAUUCAGUGGGAAUAAGCCCUGCAAAACAUAAGAUUUCAAAAACACAUAUUGUAGCUAAACAGACCAAAUUACAUGAAAAUUACUCUGUCGUACCUGUAAAAUGGUUUUCCGAGAGGUGUAAAUAUGUGAGUGUAGUAAUAUUCCCGACAUCCCUUGAAAGGUUCCCCGUGAAUUUAUUACGCGAUAGUGCUAAGGUUUGCAGAGAAGACAUAUUCAUGAAAAUAUUGAAAUCAAUUGAGCCCGCAAUCUCAUUCCGUUCAGCAGCAAAAGUAACCAGACUCUGAAGAUGGCCAAUCUCAUGUGGUAGUAUUCCUGGCAAAAAAAAGUGUCAUGAAACUAAUAAAAUCUCAUUUACACAAAUUUAUGUGAUAAGAACUUGAACCAUACCAUUCAAAUUGUUACCACCAACAUAUAACUCCCGAAGAGAUGUUAAGUAGCCGAUUUCUGAAGGUAUCUCCCCACUAAAAGAGUUGUAAGAGAGGCUCAACACCUCAAGCCCUGAACAUUGGGAUAGAUUUGUGGGAAUCGCGCCACUCAGCUGAUUCUCAGAAAGACCAAGCUUAGUAAGAAGUGGAAGAUUACUGCACAUGUCUGUUGGAAGACUUCCACUCAAUUCAUUGCCUGUCAAAUCUAUAGUCACCAAGGUCGAGAGGUUGAAUAUGGCUGAUGGUAUAGCACCGUAUAGACGAUUGAAUCGAACAGAUAGAGUUUGUAGACUUUGAAGUCUCCCAAACUCUUUCGGAAUUUCUCCACUUAGAGAAUUGAAAGAUAAGUCAAGAAAUUGUAGGUUUGUGAGGUUUGAGAACGAUUUUGGGAUGGAACCUAUGAAGCUGUUGUUGCGUAAAUUCAAGUACUCUAAUUUUGGUAACUGACCCAACACCGGAGGGAUGUCUCCGGUGAAGUUGUUGAGUCGGAGAGAUAUGAACUUCAAACGGCGAAGGAGAGACAGUUCCUGUGGCAAAUCUCCAUGGAAAAGAUUGCUUCUGAGGUCGAGGGAGACGAGGAAGGAGAGGUGUCCGAGCUGUGGUGGAAUGGUGCCGGAGAGAGCCAUGUUGGAGAGAUUCAAGGCAGCUACUCUGUGGUGGCGCAAGCUGCAAGUGACGCCAAUCCAGCUGCAGACGGAGCUCGAAUUGGUCCAAUUAGUUGCAAGUAAAAGAGAUGUAUGUUUGAGUGAAAGAAGGGCAGUUUGAUCAGUUGCAAGGCUCGGAGGUUGUUUGGAUUCAGAAGAAAGCAUUGGGAAGGUUAUGGUGAUUAGGAAUGCAUACAGCAAAAUGCAAGAAAGCUUUAUCUCCAUGGCUGCAAAUUAUGAUUGUAUUAUGAUAAUUAAGUAGCUAAUAAGUGCAUCCAAUAACCAUCAUAUAUAUAUACACAAAUAUAACGUACAAGACUUGCUUGACAUGAGAGUGUUGAUUGGACAAAUAUAACGUACAAGACUUGUUUGACAUGAGAGUGUUGAUUGGACAAAUAUAACGUACAAGACUUGCUUGACAUGAGAGUGUUGAUUGGUGUGGGUCAAUAGUCAAGUCGUGGUUAGAUGUUAUUUCCAUCCCUACUCUCUGGUGGUCCAUACAAAGACGAAGACGAAGACUUGAGGUUGAGACAAAGACAGAGACGGAGACGAAGACUUGAUCGAUAUAGAAAUGAAAACUGAAAUGCAUCGUCCCAAUUCUGUAAAGAAAUAAGGCUCAGCUAAAUAAAAUGAAAGGGGCCCAACUAAUAUUACAAAUCCCAGCCCAAUUAAAAAAAGAAUAUUGGGCCAGCUAAUAAAAGAAAACGGCCCAAAAUAGGAUCCCAACAUCUUAACCCCUUUCUCCUUCAUUCUCUCUCUCAGAAUCCGGCCGCCCCACCCUCUCCCUCACAGAACUCCGGCUGCCACGUCCCUCCUCCGGUGAAGUGUUAAACAUACUGUAAACUGAGAGAAAAGUAGAGAGAGAGAUUUGAAGAGUGAUUUUCUGUAUUCGAAAGCUUAACCAAAAUACAAAGUAUUUACAAAUAUAUAUAUGAGAGCAGAGUAACCGCUCCUAACUAUUCUAACUUCUUCAGCUAACAAUCUAACAAACUAACAAACUUGCUGACUAGAUUGCUGACUCAUCUAUGCUGACUCAUACUCUUAACAUGAAGGGUCGUCGACUACUUGAGUUCGCGAACAUGUUCGGGUUCGAUUGUUCGCCGACAUGCUCGCUAGCCUGUUCACAAAUUUUUAGUGCAUGAACCUUAAACGAGUCGAGCUUGAGCCCGAAGCUCGAGUAACAUGUUAAUUUAGAACCUUCUUUCUAAAUUUUUGAUGAAUUCGAGCUCGAGCGUCAUACAUACGAUCAUCUAACAAGCUGAGCUCAAGGUCAAACUCGAAUUCGACAUUAUCGAAUAUCAAACGAGCCGAACUCAAACUUGAGCUCAAUCAACAAGAUAAAAACUUGAAUCAAACUUGAACUGAGCUCGAACACCCCAAAUAUUUAAACGAGCCAAGCUCGAACCUACUAGUAUUCGGCUCGACUUGGCUCAUUUACAGCCCUAUUGGUUGGAGCCUAAUGUCUAGAUACAGUAUUGUGGCAACAAUUUGAAAUAAAAUCAGCAAUGGAAGCUAGCAAAUCUGGUUUCUUGAAGGAUGAAUUCAGACAUCUAGCUUAAGUUGUGUAACUUACUUCUAAUUUCUAAAGAUCAAUUCAAAUUGAUUAUUUUAUUUUUAGUGUACACAAUUUGGUUUUCAACUUUCAAAUAACAGUAAUUUUAUAAUGAAAUUUGAAUAUAUAAUUACUAAGGGACAUAAAACUGCAUAUAUUAUAUAGUAGUUCAAACAUAAAUUAAAUGAGAAUUAACAAACAUACCAGAAUCCUACACAAAAAAUGUGACAAAAAAUUUGUGACACCAAACAUAGUAAUUCAAAAUACCAUCUUUCUUUCUAAUUCUGAUGUUGAUGGCUCAGAUCAUGGCUAUCAUCUCUACUAGAUUUUGACACACAAAUUUGCUUGAUUUAGAUUGUGUAUACAACACCAAGGAAGUAGUGUUGGUUGAAGGCCAAAUGUCUAAAUGUGUAGAUACAGUUUCUUUUGCCAACAAUUUGAAAUAAAAUCAGCAAUGAGAACCAGCAAAUCUUGUUUCUUGAAGGAUGCAUUCAGACAUCCGGCUUAGGUUGCGCGGCGUUCGAGCUCGUUUCUUGGCCGGAAAACCACUGAAUGGUUCUUCUAGCUAUAGGUAGCCACAGCCUCCUAACCUUUUCAUCCUUGUCUGAGUUGAGUGAAGUUGAGAAUCCACUGAUCCUGCUGCUGCUCGAGUUCGUAUCCGUGAAUCUUGACACGUUUGUGAUCUCAGACAUCGAUCUUUUCUGUGCCGGAUCAGCUGAUCUAGACAGCAUGCUUGAAGUUUCAGCAGCAGCAAUCUUGGACUCAAACAGCCUCUUCCUCUCCAAAUCCUCCUUGAUCUUCAAGAUUUGCUCUCUUGCUGCAGCCUCGUCGUUGAACCUCCCGCUCGUGGUGGGGAGGUUCAGCAACGAGGCGUUGAGGGACAUGAGGUCCGAGGAGUUGACAUCGCUCCACCUGCUGUUGUGUAUGACAUCCGACACAAUGAUCCUGUGCUUCACAUGGUGGAGAAUCCUCGUCCCGUUGCUGUGGUUCUUGAGUUCUUGAGCCAACGGGGCGUCCGGCCUCCUCCCUCUCGUGAGCUUGUGGAGCGUGUUGGCGAGGUUGAACCGCGAUGACCUGCCCUGGCUCUGGCUCUGCUCCCUCUGUAUGAAGAACUCGAGGCUAGGCUCCUCCCACGAGCUGCUGCUGUGCCUCGAGCUCUUGAUGUCCCCUGCGUCGAGCUUGUGCCUGCAGAGGGGGCAGCUGGAGU
rnacentral:lncRNA from 1 species